rnacentral:tRNA from 1 species
GGUCUUAUAGUUUAUAUAAAAUUUUAAAUUGCAAAUUUAAGGAAAAGAAAUUUAAGACUU